UACGUAGGGUGCGAGCGUUGUCCGGAAUUACUGGGCGUAAAGAGCUCGUAGGUGGUUUGUCGCGUUGUUCGUGAAAACCGGGGGCUUAACCCUCGGCGUGCGGGCGAUACGGGCAGACUUGAGUACUGCAGGGGAGACUGGAAUUCCUGGUGUAGCGGUGGAAUGCGCAGAUAUCAGGAGGAACACCGGUGGCGAAGGCGGGUCUCUGGGCAGUAACUGACGCUGAGGAGCGAAAGCAUGGGUAGCGAACAGG
rnacentral:rRNA from 1 species